AUUGAACGCUGGCGGCAGGCCUAACACAUGCAAGUCGAGCGGAUGAAGGGAGCUUGCUCCUGGAUUCAGCGGCGGACGGGUGAGUAAUGCCUAGGAAUCUGCCUGGUAGUGGGGGAUAACGUCCGGAAACGGGCGCUAAUACCGCAUACGUCCUGAGGGAGAAAGUGGGGGAUCUUCGGACCUCACGCUAUCAGAUGUGCCUAGGUCGGAUUAGCUAGUUGGUGGGGUAAAGGCCUACCAAGGCGACGAUCCGUAACUGGUCUGAGAGGAUGAUCAGUCACACUGGAACUGAGACACGGUCCAGACUCCUACGGGAGGCAGCAGUGGGGAAUAUUGGACAAUGGGCGAAAGCCUGAUCCAGCAAUGCCGCGUGUGUGAGGAAGGUCUUCGGAUUGUAAAGCACUUUAAGUUGGGAGGAAGGGAAGUAAGUUAAUACCUUGCUGUAUUGACGUUACCAACAGAAUAAGCACCGGCUAACUUCGUG
rnacentral:rRNA from 1 species